UACGUAGGGGGCAAGCGUUGUCCGGAAUCAUUGGGCGUAAAGCGCGUGUAGGCGGUUCGGUAAGUCUGCUGUGAAAGUCCAGGGCUCAACCCUGGGAUGCCGGUGGAUACUGUCGGACUAGAGUACGGAAGAGGCGAGUGGAAUUCCCGGUGUAGCGGUGAAAUUCGUAGAUAUCGGGAGGAACACCAGUGGCGAAGGCGGCGACCUGGGCCAAUAUUGACGCUGAGGUGCGAAAGCGUGGGGAGCAAACAGG
rnacentral:rRNA from 1 species